rnacentral:rRNA from 1 species
CCCUGGUAGUCCACGCCCUAAACGAUGUCAACUGGUUGUUGGGAAUUUACUUUCUCAGUAACGAAGCUAACGCGUGAAGUUGACCGCCUGGGGAGUACGGCCGCAAGGUUAAAACUCAAAGGAAUUGACGGGGACCCGCACAAGCGGUGGAUGAUGUGGUUUAAUUCGAUGCAACGCGAAAAACCUUACCCACCUUUGACAUGUAUGGAAGAUCGCAGAGACGCGAUUGUGCUCGAAAGAGAGCCAUAACACAGGUGCUGCAUGGCUGUCGUCAGCUCGUGUCGUGAGAUGUUGGGUUAAGUCCCGCAACGAGCGCAACCCUUGCCAUUAGUUGCUACAUUUAGUUGGGCACUCUAAUGGGACUGCCGGUGACAAACCGGAGGAAGGUGGGGAUGACGUCAAGUCCUCAUGGCCCUUAUAGGUGGGGCUACACACGUCAUACAAUGGCUGGUACAAAGGGUUGCCAACCCGCGAGGGGGAGCUAAUCCCAUAAAGCCAGUCGUAGUCCGGAUCGUAGUCUGCAACUCGACUACGUGAAGUCGGAAUCGCUAGUAAUCGUGGAUCAGAAUGUCACGGUGAAUACGUUCCCGGGUCUUGUACACACCGCCCGUCACACCAUGGGAGCGGGUCUCGCCAGAAGUAGUUAGCCUAACCGCAAGGAGGGCGAUUACCACGGCGGGGUUCGUGACUGGGGGAAGUCGUAACAAGGUAGCCGUAUCGGAAGGUGCGGCUGGAUCACCUCCUU